rnacentral:misc_RNA from 1 species
GUUGCCAGAUUUCAUAGGUGGUAGCUGUACAUGUGCAGAUCGAGGAGGUUGCAUGCGUUCAGAUAAAGGACCAUGGCAAAAUCCAGAUAUAUUGAAGAUGAUUGGUGAAGCACGACGUGCCAAGCAGCUUGUUAAAGUUCUAAAUAGUGAAGGAAAGAUAGUUUAUGCUAAGCCUCGCUACCCAACGGUGAAAGGUAGUAGUGACACCUCUACUGCUGAAUCUGGAUCUGAAGCUGAAGAUAUUGCU